rnacentral:misc_RNA from 1 species
AAGGAUCAUUAUCGAUGGCCGCGCCGUGAGUGCCCUAGUGCAGGAUCGGCCGGCCACUGACCACACCCUCACUUUACGAGCACCUUUCGUUCUCCUUCGGCGGGACAACCCGCCGCUGGAACCACAUCAAACCUUUUUUGCAUCCAGCAUUACCUGUUCUGAUAAAAAAUAAUCGUAACAACUUUCAACAAUGGAUCUCUUGGCUCUG